GGGCCGCUAGCUCAACCAGGCAGAGCAUCGGACUUUUAAUCCGCAGGUUCUGGGUUCAAUUCCCAGGCGGCCCA
rnacentral:tRNA from 1 species